UUUUAUCUUCUUCAAACCACGUGCUCGCAUAGGCCAGGGAAGGACUACUGAUCCUCCCUCCAGACACCGGAGAGAUAGCUCGACGUGAUCCACUGGGGUCUUCAAAUUAUCCAGCCACGAUCGGAAAUUCACAAAGUUCCACUGGUCUUGUAUGGUGUGCGAACAAAAUAUGUAUCCUUUUACCGGGCUGUAACAACUGCGGGCCCUUCGGACUGACCUCACAGGCCAAAUCAAAAAGGUCAGCAACAGUAGCAGGGGCAGCGAUGCAGACAUGGCUGUUUAUCCUGGACACUUUUUCUGUAGGAUUGCAUGAGCGGAGUUUUAUGUUGAUCUUUAUAAGUGUUCCCCCAGCAGGCUUGCAGGGUGUGGACUAGGGACGUUUCCUGGUCUCUGUGUACGUUUACCAAUCACUGUGUGUUAAUGUCGGUCUUUGUUUGUUGGAGACAACUAUGUCACGUCCUGAAUCGGCCUCGAUAUUGGAUCAAGGUUCUCUAUUCGUCGGUUUCAGAUCAGGAAUGCUAAUUAGAAUACUAUAUUCUGGUGUGUGUGGUUUAAUAAUUGGGUUCAAAAUAUGCUUUUUGCAUAGAAUGAUUAAAUUAACUUAGCCUUCUUCACACAAAUACAUCACAAAUAAACAUUUAUUAUUUAUGUGUAUCCAAAUUUACUCGUGUCUUAAUUUACAAAUCAAAUUUGUUUAACUUUGUAAGCUUACUUUGCAUGUUAUUUAUCAUUUUGGUAUUAAAAUGUUAAGCAAU
rnacentral:sRNA from 1 species